rnacentral:rRNA from 1 species
CCUACGUGAGGCAGCAGUGAGGAAUAUUGGUCAAUGGGCGUAAGCCUGAACCAGCCAAGUCGCGUGAGGGAUGAAGGUUCUAUGGAUCGUAAACCUCUUUUGUCAGGGAGUAAAGUGUCGGACGUGUCCUAUUUUGUAUGUACCUUAUGAAUAAGCAUCGGCUAACUCCGUGCCAGCAGCCGCGGUAAUACGGAGGAUCCGAGCGUUAUCCGGAUUUAUUGGGUUUAAAGGGUGCGUAGGCGGAAUGCAAAGUCAGCGGUAAAAUCGCGGGGCUCAACCUCGAUCCGCCGUUGAAACUGGCGGUCUUGAGUGGGCGAGAAGUAUGCGGAAUGCGUGGUGUAGCGGUGAAAUGCAUAGAUAUCACGCAGAACUCCGAUUGCGAAGGCAGCAUACCGGCGCCCAACUGACGCUGAAGCACGAAAGCGUGGGUAUCGAACAGGAUUAGAUACCCGAGUAGUC